GAUGAACGCUGGCGGCGUGCUUAACACAUGCAAGUCGAACGGUGAACACGGAGCUUGCUCUGUGGGAUCAGUGGCGAACGGGUGAGUAACACGUGAGCAACCUGCCCCUGACUCUGGGAUAAGCGCUGGAAACGGCGUCUAAUACUGGAUACGAGUAGCGGCCGCAUGGUCAGUUACUGGAAAGAUUUUUUGGUUGGGGAUGGGCUCGCGGCCUAUCAGCUUGUUGGUGAGGUAAUGGCUCACCAAGGCGUCGACGGGUAGCCGGCCUGAGAGGGUGGCCGGCCACAAUGGGACUGGGACACAGCCCAGACUCCUACGGGAGGCAUCAGGGGGGAAUAUUGCACAAGGGGCGAAAGCCUGAUGCAGCAACGCCGCGUGAGGGAUGACGGCCUUCGGGUUGUAAACCUCUUUUAGCAGGGAAGAAGCGAAAGUGACGGUACCUGCAGAAAAAGCGCCGGCUAACUACGUGCCAGCAGCCGCGGUAA
rnacentral:rRNA from 1 species